UUCAGAAGAGGCCGCACAGUGAUUGUGGUGGAUCAAGAGAAAAAGAACAACUCUCUACAGUCAGAUGGUGCUCACACCUGAGGUUCAAAGAAGACUCAGGAUUCCUUGAAGGAGGAGCCCAAAAUCAGCAACAGGUAGCAGCACAGCAUCCAAAGCCACCCACCUCCAAGCUUUCCCUUGGGCUGAACUGUUUGGGUUCCUGUCUGUUCACA